rnacentral:rRNA from 1 species
CAAUAGCGUAUAUUAAAGUUGUUGCGGUUAAAAGCUCGUAGUUGGAUUUCUGUUGAGGAUGUGCGGUCCGCACUACGUGCGUGUAUCUGUUACAGCCUCGGCAUCCUCAUGAAGAACAGUGCUGCUCUUAAUUGCGUGGUCUGGAAUUCAUGACUUUUACUUUGAGGAAAUUAGAGUGUUCACUGCAAGCAAUCGCUUUGAAUACAUUAGCAUGGAAUAAUAAUAUAGGACCUUGGUACUAUUUUGUUGGUUUCUAGAACUAAGGUAAUGAUUAAUAGGGAUAAUUGGGGGCAUUCGUAUUAACGCGUCAGAGGUGGAAUUCUUGGAUUGCGUUACGACGAACUACUGCGAAAGCAUUUGCCAAGGAUGUUUUCAUUGAUCAAGAACGAAAGUAUGGGGAUCGAAGACGAUCAGAUACCAU